UGGUGGUGCGGCUGGGCUCGGAGAAGACGCACGCAAGUGCAAACGCAUGCGGCCUAGUGCACGGGUGGGUCCAGCGCGAGCAUGCACAUGGGUGCCCAGGCCUAGUGCCCCUGCGAUGGAUCGCAGGGUGCUGGGCGGUCCAUGGGGCCGCAUGGACCGAACAUGCGGUCCAUGGGAGUUUUUACAUGAUCCGACAGUUCAGAUCA
rnacentral:lncRNA from 1 species